rnacentral:rRNA from 1 species
GUGGGGAAUAUUGGACAAUGGGCGAAAGCCUGAUCCAGCCAUGCCGCGUGAGUGAUGAAGGCCUUAGGGUUGUAAAGCUCUUUCAGUAGGGAAGAUAAUGACGGUACCUACAGAAGAAGCCCCGGCUAACUUCGUGCCAGCAGCCGCGGUAAUACGAAGGGGGCUAGCGUUGUUCGGAUUUACUGGGCGUAAAGCGCACGUAGGCGGAUUGGUCAGUUAGGGGUGAAAUCCCAGAGCUCAACUCUGGAACUGCCCUUAAUACUGCCAAUCUAGAGUCCGGAAGAGGUGAGUGGAACUCCUAGUGUAGAGGUGGAAUUCGUAGAUAUUAGGAAGAACACCAGUGGCGAAGGCGGCUCACUGGUCCGGUACUGACGCUGAGGUGCGAAAGCGUGGGGAGCAAACAGGAUUAGAUACCCGGGUAGUCC